AAAUUGAAGAGUUUGAUCAUGGCUCAGAUUGAACGCUGGCGGCAGGCCUAACACAUGCAAGUCGAACGGUAACAGGAAACAGCUUGCUGUUUCGCUGACGAGUGGCGGACGGGUGAGUAAUGUCUGGGAAACUGCCCGAUGGAGGGGGAUAACUACUGGAAACGGUAGCUAAUACCGCAUAACGUCGCAAGACCAAAGAGGGGGACCUUCGGGCCUCUUGCUAUCGGAUGUGCCCAGAUGGGAUUAGCUAGUAGGUGGGGUAACGGCUCACCUAGGCGACGAUCCCUAGCUGGUCUGAGAGGAUGACCAGCCACACUGGAACUGAGACACGGUCCAGACUCCUACGGGAGGCAGCAGUGGGGAAUAUUGCACAAUGGGCGCAAGCCUGAUGCAGCCAUGCCGCGUGUAUGAAGAAGGCCUUCGGGUUGUAAAGUACUUUCAGCGGGGAGGAAGGGAGUAAAGUUAAUACCUUUACUCAUUGACGUUACCCGCAGAAGAAGCACCGGCUAACUCCGUGCCAGCAGCCGCGGUAAUACGGAGGGUGCAAGCGUUAAUCGGAAUUACUGGGCGUAAAGCGCACGCAGGCGGUUUGU
rnacentral:rRNA from 1 species